rnacentral:lncRNA from 1 species
GGAUGGAUUGAAUAAGCUUCUUGCUCAUCUGCUCAUGCUUUCAGAGAGGUGUCCCUUUAAAGAUGUACGAGAGAAAAGUGAAUUUAUUCUAAAGAGCGUCCAGGAAGAGAGGAAAAAAGUCAGGAAACCUGCAUACACCGAAAUAGUAACUACAAUUCUCUAUUAAAGGUGGGAUUGUUGGUGCUUUUUAUUUUUCUUUUUAUAGUAAUCUUUAUGAAUUACUUAAUU